UGGGAGUAAAGUGGCGCACGGGUGAGUAACGCGUAGGUAAUCUACCCUUGGGUUUGGAAUAACCCGCCGAAAGGCGGACUAAUACCGGAUAAAAUCUUUCGGAGGGAUCUGAAAGAUCAAAGGUGGCCUCUCCAUGGAUGCUACUGCCUGAGGAUGAGCCUGCGUCCCAUUAGCUUGUUGGUAGGGUAAUGGCCUACCAAGGCUACGAUGGGUAGCUGGUCUGAGAGGAUGAUCAGUCACACUGGAACUGGAACACGGUCCAGACUCCUACGGGAGGCAGCAGUGAGGAAUAUUGCGCAAUGGGGGAAACCCUGACGCAGCGACGCCGCGUGGGUGAAGAAGGCCUUCGGGUCGUAAAGCCCUGUCUAGAGGGAAGAAAUUCUCAAUGGAAUAAUACCCAUUGAGAUUGACGGUACCUCUGGAGGAAGCACCGGCUAACUCCGUGCCAGCAGCCGCGGUAAUACGGAGGGUGCGAGCGUUGUUCGGAAUUACUGGGCGUAAAGCGGGUGUAGGCGGUUUGUUAAGUCAGAUGUGAAAGCCCACGGCUCAACCGUGGAAGUGCAUCUGAAACUGGCUGACUUGAGUACCGGAGAGGGAAGUGGAAUUCCUGGUGUAGGGGUGAAAUCCGUAGAUAUCAGGAGGAACACCGGUGGCGAAGGCGACUUCCUGGACGGAUACUGACGCUGAGAUCCGAAAGCGUGGGGAGCAAACAGGAUUAGAUACCCUGGUAGUCCACGCCCUAAACGAUGGGCACUAGGUGCAGGGGG
rnacentral:rRNA from 1 species